GCGACAGUUCUGUAGACGCAUUUGUAGUUGACCUGGUAACUGUAAAGUAAUAGAUACUUAUUACCAUGAACAAAGGCAAUGAAUAGAAGCAAGGCUGAAUUUAAGCUAAACAGAAAUAGGAGUACUUUGAUACUGAUUUAAUAAUUUGAUGAAUUUAAUACACGCUAUAUUCCAAUAGACUUCUAUUAACAGAAUCUAUUGACCAAUUUUUUGCCAAACUGUUAUAGUAUACCUGAAUAUGGUGAGCAAAUAAAAUAGGACUCCAGAGAGGCAACAGUUUGCUCAAUAGGGUAGAUUGACAUUCCAACAGUGCCUCUAGUAGACUUAAAAAGUGUAAGUUCACCAUUUCAGCAAGCUGCAAAAAAUUGCGAUUAUGUCUUAGGCAUAAAAAUACUCAUUCAUUUCAGCACCACAGUUUUUACAGAACACUAGUGGGAAUAUCAAUAGAUACGAGGAGAAAACGGUUGGCACUUACCACUUUAGAGUGUGCCACAAGCUGGAGAACACAGGGUGUCACCUUGCCCCAAAAGUCUAAUAAAAUACUCAUUGUCACAUUGUGGGUUUCACUACUGGUCGAAUUGUGUUUAGAUACUUCCUCCAGUAAAUCAAAGUAUCUUACCUGACAGAGAAUGAAAGUAUGAAAAAGAGAUGACAUGUGUAACACUGAAGUCUUUGAUUGUUCUGGAAAGCCAGAUAAUAUAACUUGGACAUGAUCUGCAAUGUGACAUGAAACCUCCUGGGGUAUAGGUUGUGCUAACGGAGUUGGUGGUCCAUGUAUAUGGGGAUUUCCAGACCAUGUAUUACUGUUACCAUGAAGUGCAACGUGUGUCAGUGAUCCCAAUAAAAGCCAGGAUAAAAGCCGUAUGUGGCCAAUACAGUCGACAAAUUCACGAGACCUAGGGUGAAAAAUAUCGACUAAUAUUAGAAUAUGCCAUUAAAAAUUUUAAUUAAUAAACGUCUCAAAAGGUACAUUGAGAAUGAUCACCCUUGUUGGAGAGUUGAUGGCGCACUGUAAAGCCAAGGUAAAUAUCUUGCUACCGCUCUGUUGUCUCGACUAUUGCCCCUAGUAAUUUCUAAAGCCAAGUACUGUGCUAACCCGCACUUUAGCAUACCACCCAAGGUAUCUUCAUUUAAUCCUGCUUGCAGACCUUUACCAUAACUCUAAAAUUUAUUUAUAAAAAUUAUCAUCCAUGCUUCUGAUAACAAUCACAUAUAUGCAUAAGUACCUUCACUUUACUGAGUGUGUGAAAGUCUGCUAAAAAAUCCAAAACAUCAGAGAGCUGGCUACGCAAGGAUUCUGAUGCAUUUGUGUUAUAUAUUGGUGAUACAUCAGUUUGAACAUCUUCCACUGCAACAUUCAUGGGUAGCAUACCUCCUACAUCCUACAAAACAAAGGGUUAUUAAUUUUCUAAAGGCUCAAUGAUUGCCAACUGAUGUAAAAAAUUAAAUUAUGGAAAGAAGAUAACAAAUCAUUGCAUACCUGGAGUAUAAAAUGAAUCAACAAUAAAAAGUUCGAGUCAGGAAGCGUUGUCUUGAAUUUGAUUGCUUGGACUAACUCAAAAACAAUAGUUCUACUCAAAAAAUGUUUGUCUCGAUCUCGCGUGAAUCCACGAUGACAUAAA
rnacentral:misc_RNA from 1 species